rnacentral:rRNA from 1 species
GACGUAGGAUGCAAGCGUUGUCCGGAAUUAUUGGGCGUAAAGAGCUUGUAGGCGGUUUGUCGCGUCUGCCGUGAAAUUUCGGGGCUCAACCCCGAACUUGCGGUGGGUACGGGCAGACUAGAGUGUGGUAGGGGAGACUGGAAUUCCUGGUGUAGCGGUGAAAUGCGCAGAUAUCAGGAGGAACACCGGUGGCGAAGGCGGGUCUCUGGGCCGUAACUGACGCUGAGGAGCGAAAGCAUGGGGAGCGAACAGG